CCCCAACUAUCCUAUUAAUCUCGGUGAUCCUAGAAACCACCAAAAUAGAACCAUGCCGUCCUAUUUUAUUAUUCCAUGUUAAUUUAUUCAAGCAAUAGCCUGCUUUAAGCACUCUAAUUUUUUCAAGGUAAUAGCUCUGCUUCCCCGGCGCACCAACUAAAUGGCAUGCCGGUUAUUCAGAAGGUAGGAACCCAUCACACCAGUGCGGACCGUGAGGCCCGACCAAUGGACAAAUCCCCAAAUUCCACUAC
rnacentral:rRNA from 1 species